UGUAACCUUGAGUAUUUUCAUUUCUGGCAACUGUGUGUAUGCAACUGCCAUUUCUCUAAUGGAAGCGAAGCGAUACGGAGCUUAAAAUCGUAGAAAUCCAUAGCAACGGUUUCACGCAGCCAUCGCAACCAACAGCAGCAGUGGAUCGCCUCUCGAUCCAUUUGUUGUUCCAGGAAACGAUGGAUAUCAGUUGGGCCAAUUGUGCCGUCAGCAGCGAGGAAACCAGCAACAACCGUUUUACACUGAGUAAUCAACAGCUACCGAUUCGGACAACAUCGACUCGGAUGGAAGCAGCAGCAACAGCGCAGAUCGUCUGUGUUAUUCAAUAUAUUGUCUGCAGCAAAAACUCCACUAGCAGAUGAACGAUAUGCAAUGGCGAAAGUAUCACAAUUUCAAACACAUCGUCACGACAACAUUAAUUCUACAGCAGUACUUGGCGAAGGUACCCAGCGAAAACCAUCAUUAUCACACAGAGAUCCAAAUCCAUCGUCGACACGGCAGAAAAAAAAGCCUAGCGCCAAACCGAGUCAACUGCCCCUACUGGCAUGUUCCCCUCGGACAACAUCAGCAUAGGAUCAGAAAACAACAGUCCACUGGAGAAAACUGGGAUCUCUUCGAAGGUAUUGCCCAUGACAGAUUCCACCGUGAAGAAGUAUUUUUUUGACAUCGAACUCUAGGGGGGAGGUAUUGGAAAAUCGAAAAUAGUCACAUCUAAUAUGCAGCGGUUCUAAGCUAACAUGUGGCUGAGUGGAGAAUUUUGUAUCAAAUUUAAAGAACAACUUCCAUUGGGAUUUCCAGUAAAUGCUCAAUAAAUGCUCCAGAAAAAUAGAAAUACCGCUGUUCCAUGUGUUGAACGCGGUUAUCAUAUUUGGCAACGUAUUCGAAUAAGAGACACCCGUGACCAGUGUGAGCCACAUCAGAGAAAGCGAAGAGCGUACGGCAUGCAUUAUCGAGGUUUACUGUUUUGACGUCCCGUUCGAGUACGUACGACGCGGUGUCGAUUUUCGGCGUCAAAUCAUCUUCGAAGAUAACGAAUUGAUACAAUUUGCGAUCCAGCAAAAUUUCGCAAGUGUCCGAAAAAGCACACUUUUGAGUACUGUGAUACCCAACUCGCUCGCUAAAAGCAUGCAGGAAAAGCUUUUCAAUAUUUUAUAAAAAUAAGAAUAGAAU